UUAUGUUCAUCUGUUUACAUUUAUUGAGAAAAGAAGACAAAUAUCUAAGAAAAUGAAUGCGUAUCAUUUCCAUCUCUUGUUUCUUGUUUCUUGACAGACCGAAAGGAAAAGGACAGUGAUUCCCAAACCACAGAGAAAUUAAUUACUGUUGAUGAGUAUCAAGCACAACCUCGACAGAGACUCAGAAGAGGCUGAAAAAAUGGAGGAAAACGAAAAAUUGAGAAACGAUGACAAAAAAAGCUACCAAAUCUGUUAAAUGAAGUGAAGAUGGCCCUGAAGUCUCUGUUUGUCAGCAUCAGUCACAUAACUUGGAAGAUGGGACAGGAUUUGCCACAGAGUAAUUACAGAGCCCUUCCAACAGAACAGGAGCAACGUUGCAGAAAGUGUCCUCAUGUGGUGACCGCCAGCAUUGGUACAGCAAUUAAUGCCAAACUUACUGAAAUUAGAGGGAAGAAAACAAAAACAAAUGAAAACCUUAAUGGUCUUUGAUGAUUGAUAGCCGUGACCGUGUGUUCAAGGUAUUUUGUUGUUGUUGUUGGAGUGUGUUUGUGUGUGUGUGUUUUGCCUUCGCAAAGUUCAGUUUUAUAUCAAGUUGUAAUUUUAAAUUACUCUUGUGGAGUAUAAUUUGAUUGUCUUGUUGAUUGUGUUGAAAUAAAAGUAUUUUUAAUGUAAAUUUGUGCAAGUAAUUGUCUGAAAUCAUAUAUGAUUUGUAUAUGCAGAGAUAUUGUAAUAUUUACUGAAAUCAUAAAAGAUAAUUAUAUGUAGAGAUAUGAGGUAUUAGGUGGAAACAUAUAAAGUUUGAAGAACAGACACACAAUUUACCUAUUAAAAACAUAUAUAAUCUGUAUAAAAUUCAUAUGAGCAAAUAAUGCAAAAUUUAAAUGAAUCCUAUAUGAUUCAAUCAAGAAUUUUAAAUGAUUUGUAUAGGAAAUUUACUGAUAUUCAUACACAUUUUCUACUAAAAUCAUAUACUAUUACAUACUGUUGUCAUGUAAAACUCAUAUAAGAAUUUUGCAGUAUUCAUAUAUGACCUAAAAAUCCCAUACAAGUUUUAUGUGUGCUUUUUAGUAUGAAAGUGGCCAUAAUCGGUCUGAUUUUGUAUAUGACAUGUAUUGGACUUAUAUGAAACACAUAAGGAAAUUCUGGCUGAUUUGAGUAAAGAAUAUAUAUGGUUGCUGUAUAUGAAACAUACAGGUUUUUUUC